AGUUUAGCAAAAAUUAAAUCAGUACAAAUCACAUGCCAGUACUCAACUUGAUUUUCUGGACUAAUGGAAGGGAAAAGAAGUAUGAAUGAAUCUGAAGCAAGAGGGUAAUUUAGAAAAAUUAUAUUUGAUUUUAGAAUUCAGCCAGAGGAACAUGAACCACAGACGUUCAUCACCCUUCCCAGGACCAAGUUCAUUUUCAGCAGUCCAGGUGGGAUGACCAGAAAUGAACUAUGGAUCAGAUCAUCUCCACAGAAAGAAAUCCUGUGCUUUGAGGGGUAAUUUUGUGAUACCCUAAUUGAUAUAUAUCCCGCUUGCAAAAGGCAGAUCACUCAUUUUUUAGGAAAGCCAGCUGCCAUGUUGUGAAGACACUCACGCAGCUCUUCGGAGAGUAGAGGGACCCAGAUGAGGAGGAACUGAGGCUUCCUGCCAAAACCCAGCACCAGUGUGCCAGUAAUAUAUAAAAGUCACCUUGGAAAUAAAUCCUUCAGCCCUGGUCAAGCCUUCAGACAGACCAAGCAACUGGCUGCUGAUUCUGCACUCUGCUCCCCUACGUGGGCCUCUCACCACCGUGGCCUCUCCCAUCAUGGAGCACAGGCUCCGGACGCACAGGCCCAGUGGCCACGGCCCACAGGCCCAGCCGCUCUGCAGCAUGUGGGACCCUCCCGGACUGGGGCACGAACUUGUACCCCCCGCAUCGGCAGGCGGACUCUCAACCACUGCGCCACCAGGUAAGCCCCCUUCUGCCCCUUUUUUAAUUGGGUUGUUUGUUUUGUUAUUGAGUUGUAUGAGCUGUUUAUAUAUUUUGGAAAUUAAGCCCUUGUAGGUUGCAUCCUUUGCAAAUA